CUUAUAAAGACGAGUUUGUAGAAUCAGCACAUCAUCAAGAUCUUGUUCGCUGUAACAUGCAAAAAAUCAGAAAGUUGUUUUGCGGUGAUGGCAGCUCGGUCUUUAUCGCUUAACUUACUGCACGAUCAACUGGGUGGAUUUUACGAUUGCGGAUCCCACCGCUGUCACCAAAUAUGUUGUGCCAAGGAGUCGGGCAUAACAGAUUCGGGAUCCGCGGGGACGUCGGGAUCGGAGCUAAUUAACUUUACACACACUUUUUUUCAAAACCUUAAAAUAUUUUAUUAAUAAAUUAACUUUAUAAUUUCAUUUUUGUUUUCAAUUAUUUGAUUAUUCCCCUUAACGCCUUACAGACUUUAGAUAGACAACGAACUUAAUAUCCUUGUGAGAAUCCGGACUGCGAGCGAGCGAGUCGCGAAUCGAUUAUAUGCUCCAGUCCGAUUAUAUUCUCUCUUGGUUUUCGCAUGUUCUUGCUAAUGAGAUGCCUCUCGUCAACUUUCUCAGUAUUCUUCCGAGGUUCAGAAACAUCACGCGGAAAUAUCUUUUAAUUAAAACAUCAUUAAACGUAAUGUUUUAAUUAAACUUUCAUUUAUUUACAAUAUUUUAUUAUUAUAAUGCCGCGACGCUCAUGACAAAUAUCUCUAUCUUUAUAUUAUGCGCUAUAUCUGAUUAUAGGAUAUAACUAAUUUUAUUUUGUAAACAUCCUUAAGACCUAUCAGGAAGCUUUAGAAAGUUGAGGAAUUAGAUAGUAUAUUUAACUACUAAACUACAUUGGUUAUUGAGAGAGACAGAGAGAGAGAGAGAGAGAGAGGGGGGGGGGGACUAUUUCGUUAAAUUAUCUUUGAGAAUAAUUUUACCGUACUUUUUCCACUUAACCUUUGCCACUGUUAAAAUGUCUUAACGUUUUUUAAAUAAAUUACUUUAUUAUAUAAUAAGAUAUAGGAUACGAUCCAUUUGACGCUACAAAUGCUUCGUAGCAUUAAGUGGACCAUAAUCAUAAUGUUAUUACUAA